ensembl:lncRNA
ACAACAACAACAACAACAUCACCUAGACACACACACACACACAUACAACCACAACAUCACUUUAACACACACACACACACACACAUUAGAUGUAUGCAACUAAACACACACACACACAUACACACAUAACUAAACACACACACAUAUACAACUAUACACAUAACAUAACUCGCACACACACCCACUCACACACAUAACUAAGCUCAGACACACACAUAACUAAGCUCAGACACACACAUAACUAAAACACAUGCACAAACACUAAAUAGCUAAAGCUUCAUAUAUGACAAAGAGGACCACCUUUGAGUGCACACGCACACGCACACACACACGCACACGCACACGCACACACACACACACACACACACACACACGUACACACAACUUUGUGCUUGUGUAGAGGGUUGCUGUUUGCCAGUGGAUUUAAGCUGUAAGCCACUUACUGCAGAUACCCUCAUGGAUCUUUCUCAGUCUCUGUUUCUCUCAGUCACCUUGUUGUACUCUCUCACCACAGUGUACUGUUGUACAUGUCACACACACACGCAAAGACACACACACACACACACACACACACACACACACACACACACACACACACAUAACUAAACACACACUACACAUAACUUUCGCCCGGUCACCUUCUUGUACUCUCUCCCCACGGUGUACUGUCAUACUUCAAUCAUUUCACAUUUAGAUACACAAAUUAUUUAAUUUUAUUUCUCAGUCCAGGUUGCAUGAAGAGUCACUAGAUGAAAUUGUCUGGGCCUCACACACAAACACACACACCUGCACACACAAGAGAAACAUAUGCCAAAACUCACCUACUGGACUCACAAACACACACCUGCACACACACGAGACACAUAUGCCAAUACUCACAUAGUGGACACGCAAACAAACACCUGCACCCACACGAGACACAUAUGCCAAUACUCACAUAGUGGACACGCAAACAAACACCUGCACACACACGAGAUACAUAUGCCAAUACUCACAUACUGGACUCACAAACACAAAUACGGUUGAUAUAUCUAACUGUACUGACUGUGUGCCUAGACGUAUCUGCAGCUUUAAAGAGCUCUGGCAUCAUUGCAUUUCCCGAGCUGAAGUCGUGUAAGUGACCCUCACUCAGCUACGUAUGAACGAGGAGGCAUAUAUGGUUAUUAACGUACAUACUGUAUAAGCUACGUAUGAACAAGAUGGCAUAUAUGGUUAUUAACGUACAUAGCCUGUACAUACUGUAUAUGCUACAGUAUGAACAAAAAGGCAUGUAUGGUUAUUUACGUACAUACUGUAUAAGCUACGUAUGAACAAGAAGGCAUAUAUGGUUAUUUACGUUCAUAGCCAAUACAUACUGUAUAUGCUACAGUACCUACGUGGCAAAUCGUCAUUGGCGCAUAUAGGCUACGAUGAAUCGUCUGCGCGUUCCUUCCUUGGACAGUUCAGUAAUGCGAGCGGCAGCUGGUACAUCUGAUAUGCUCUGAGAAAAGAACGGAACAACCCUGCAUGUCCUGUCAGAUAACGUGAAGCACCGGCCGCUUUCUACCCGCUGUGUCUGUGUCCGCCUCUACCCUGUACUCUCUGCCUUGCCGUUUGGUGCAAACGAUUGAACCGAAAAACCGUUGAAUGUAAUAUUCGCUCCCAUGUUUUUGUAGGGAGAGAACAUUUUAGAUUGAUGUUAUGAUAUCCUGAAUUUGCACAGCUCUUGAUUUUGUGUUCCCUUGUUCUGUUUAGUUUUUUUAGGAUAACCUAUUCAUAAACAUGUAUGUGUAUAGUGUAUGAACUAUGGACAUGUUUUUGUUUGUUGUUUGUUUGUUUGUUCGUUUUCUUUCCUCGGGCCACAAGUGUGUUACUUUAUAAUGUGAUGAUAAAUAUAGCUCCACUUGGGUGUGCAUACCACACCUAGCAUAGACGACGACUGACCACAGGACUGCUUUGGCUUUGAUCUGGCCUGAUGAAUUCUAGAGACAGUGGUAUGUAGAUUUGUUACUACCAGGUCAUAGUAUAUUUGGGAAGGGGAAAUUAAAGAUUUGGUUGUUGUGGAUAUAUGUACAAUGUUUGUAUAAAGAUAAUAAUAAAUAAUGAAAUGUGGAAGCUUAUUUUUCUGUUUGAUUUCAAUUUUUGCUUGAAAUAAUGAUAUGGAAAUAUGAUUUACUUCUGUUGAAUAGAUAAAUAAACUCAAAUCAAGAUUAUGG